rnacentral:lncRNA from 1 species
GAACACAGUUCAAAGACGUCUAAAACCAGGCUCCACUACCACACCACACAUCAGGCGAUACACACAAGUAAAGUCCUGAACGGCGGCCAGACCAUACAAAGCAUUACCACAAACUGAAAACAAAGGACAAGUCUGCAAGGAAAUAACGCUAUUUAUUACAGCCAAGAUCACAAGGCUAUUCAUUACGCUAUUUAUUACGCUAUUUAUUUAUUACGCUAUUCUUUGAUUUCAGGAGUCAGAGUUCUCCUACAACAAAGCUCCUUUUACGUUUUUUCGACAAUUUAUAAUUAAUUCCUACAAAUCAAAGUGUGAAACAAGAACUUGUGCAAUUUUGCAACCAAUAAUAUGUUAGUCCCAAAAAAUAAUAUAAAGUUGUAGUAAAAUGAUUGUAAAACAUCCAAGAAAGAUAAUAUACCAGCAUGAAACAAGCAAAAAUUAUAGAUACGUUGAAGACGUAUCAGCAUCCCCAAGCUUAAUUCAUGUUCGUCCUCGAGUAGGUAAAUAAUAAAAAUAAAUUUUUUAAUGUGGAAUGGUGCGUAGCAUGUUCAUUAAAUUCUUUUCUUCUUUGUAUAGCAUGGACAUUUGGACUUGUAAGAGAUUCAAAGCAAUAAUCUAGUUUUAACAUAAUGACUUCAAUACUCAAGCAUGUCAACAAGCAACCACUCGCAUCGGUAGAUAUGGUUGAGAUCUGCCUCAAUCAUCUCAAGGGAGGCCACGCCAUUUCCCAACACAGUGACGAUGGCCGAGAGGGAGGGCACAGGCGGUGGCACGUCGGGGAUCUCCAUGUGGAAGAACGCCAACCCCUCGAUGCCAUGGCCAUAGACCAUCAGCUCCUCUGACAUCUGCCGAUCCGGGGCAAAGAACGACGGGGUGACCGGCGUCCUUGUAGAGGUAGCACAUCGGCGGGUUAGGACAAGCCACUUGGAAGUGUAUGAAGAGGCCACAGCUGAAGCAAGGGGAGCCAUCCCCCGCGGUCGUGGCCGAGCUCUCGAUCACCGGGGCGGCAGGGGCAACGGUGCGGAGGGNN